ACUCCUACGGGAGGCAGCAGUGGGGAAUUUUGGACAAUGGGCGAAAGCCUGAUCCAGCAAUGCCGCGUGAGUGAAGAAGGCCUUCGGGUUGUAAAGCUCUUUUGUCAGGGAAGAAACGGUGAGAGCUAAUAUCUUUUGCUAAUGACGGUACCUGAAGAAUAAGCACCGGCUAACUACGUGCCAGCAGCCGCGGUAAUACGUAGGGUGCAAGCGUUAAUCGGAAUUACUGGGCGUAAAGCGUGCGCAGGCGGUUUUGUAAGUCUGAUGUGAAAUCCCCGGGCUCAACCUGGGAAUUGCAUUGGAGACUGCAAGGCUAGAAUCUGGCAGAGGGGGGUAGAAUUCCACGUGUAGCAGUGAAAUGCGUAGAUAUGUGGAGGAACACCGAUGGCGAAGGCAGCCCCCUGGGUCAAGAUUGACGCUCAUGCACGAAAGCGUGGGGAGCAAACAGGAUUAGAUACCCCGGUAGUCCCAUG
rnacentral:rRNA from 1 species